rnacentral:lncRNA from 1 species
UGGAUUCUGUUAACUGUUAAAAAAACUGAAGAGGAUCUAUUUUCAAAUAUCAACAAGGUUUUAUUAAAUAACAAGCACUGCUAACUGCCAAGUAAAACAGGCUGCUACUGUAAAGUUGAGUGUUGAAACCAAAUGCUACCCUAUGUCAUCAUCAAAUUCCCAUUUUAUCAUCUCACUUUUCAACAAUUGAAAGCUAAAAGAUAUUAACAUUCAAGCAAGUUAAGAUUUUAACAUCACUUGUAAGGGCAAUAGUCCUGAAGAGAAUAUAUUUUGACCAUUUUAGUACCAAAGAUUAUUUUAUCAUUCAUGCACAACUAUAUGGUAAAUAAUACAAGAAGAAAGGAGCAUUGCCCAAGUGACUGUGUAAUUGUGUUGCUUUAUCUAUGAGCUUUUGAUUAUUGGAUCUAAAUAACAUAGCUUAUUCAGUCACUGGUAGUUCUCAUUUUUCAGGGAAAUUGCAAGGGACCGAAUCCCAUUAUGCAGUUCUUCUACUUUCCAAAGUCUUCUCAUAUUCUUCAAUGGAUUUAAAAAGCUCAGAGAAGUUGCCUUUUCCAAAACCCCCACAUCCACCUUUUUGGUACACCUUUCCUUCUUCAUCCUUGAGCAUGCAUCCAAUUCUCUGAAUUAUCUCUAUAAAAAUGGUUGGCCUGCAAAUUUAACACAAACAAGAACCAAUCAUCAUUCAUAGCAUAAAUAAGAACAAUAUCUCAAAAUGAUUAUAGUUGGUCAACUACUAUAUAGUCCUAGAUUCAAACAUAAUUUUCAUUUGAAGUUGAUAGUUGAGAAUUGUGAGAUCAUUUGACUUGACUAAAUUAUAGACUAUGAACUUCAGGCGAAGACUGCAACUAAAAUGCGCCGCCGCAAUUGCAAUUAUGAUUCAAUGAAAUUCACUGACCUAUCACCAACAGGUUUGGUGAAAAUCUGAAGCAGAGUGCCCUGAUCGUCCCUAUCAACAAGAAUUCCAAGCUCCUCACACUCCUUAAUCUGUUCAUCACUCAGCACAUCACCGGCACGCUUCUUCAAGUUCCGGUAAUACGUUGGCGGCGGAGACGGCAUG